rnacentral:antisense_RNA from 1 species
GGCCUGGGCCUCCAGGCUGCGCAGCGCAGCCGCUAUCGGGGGAGUGCAGUUUUUGCCAAGUAGCUACUGAAAAUUACCAAGGAGAGGUAGGAGGUAAGAGAUGCCUAUAAAGGAGCUGAAAUCUACCAGGUCACAAUGAUUUGUAUGACAGAUGCUAGCCCAAGAGAGAGUUCCAGAAGAGGGCUACCUAACAGGUGCUGUGGCAUUUAGAAGAGGAAUGGAGCCACUGUCUACGCACAGCUUGCAGGGGAACAGGAGAGUCAGCCUGAGAAGGAAAUGUGAUGAUGGAAACAGAGGUUGGAAGAUGGAAGGGGACCCAGAGCCAAGGAAUACAGGUAGAAAAGAAAAGCCUGGAUUCUCCCCUAAAGCCUCCAGAUGGAACACAGCCCUGCCUCCAACUUGAUUUGAGAACUUCUUACCCCAAGAACCGUGUCUGUCUUCAUCCUAAGGAGUCAACUGCUGUACCUUAAUGAUUUCAAUGUAAUUGUUUGGUUUGUAAGUCUUUCUUGCCACUGUGGUUCUGGGGCCAUUGUUCUGCAACAAUGAAUAAACAAUGUUUUAGAAAUCACUCAUCCAAGAAAGGUGACAAGAUACUGGAAUAGAGGUAUUUGAAAAAUAUUCAUGGGAAUUUUAGAGGAUUGUAGAUGGUCUGAGUACCUGUGAAGACAUCAUCUAAUGUAUCUAAAAACCGCAUAAUGCUUCAUCUCAAUGUAUUUUAAGAAUUAAUUUUGUUAUAAGCUAGAAUUUUUCAUUUUGGUUUUAAUAAUAACAUCACAAGGUUUUUUAACAUAAAUUAGAAAGGGCAUACAUGGAGAAGUAAAGAAAAAUUCUUGGGAUUAGCCAAAAAUUAGUGAGAGAUUACAUAUUUCCUUAGAUGAAAAAUCCUACAGGCAAACUUUUAAUGUCAGGGAGAGGAAUACUUUAUUACCUAAUAUAAUGUAAAUGAAAAGAAUAGUUAAGCAUUCUUUUUUAAAGCAGUAUACAGAAAUGAGAGAAAGGAUAAGAGGUUAACUCAUUUCUAUUUUGAACUCUAUUUUUUUAAAACCCUUGCUCCAAAUUUUACUUACUAUCUUUUAAAUGUCAUCCUACUAGAGUGUAAGUCUUUAGUUUUAGUUGCUUAAUAAAAAUUCAGUUUUUGUGACAAAAGGCA